rnacentral:rRNA from 1 species
UGCUCGUAAGAGUGAACUAGCUAACUGGAAUCAUGAGUGUGUCACUUGUGAUAAGGUAAAGGAAAAAUGAUGAUGUCACUUUACUAGUAGUGUUGUCCAAAGCUGGUGCCAGAAGACUCGGUAAUGCCAGAGACGCAAGCGUUAGUCAUCCUGAUCAGGCGUAAAGGGUUUGUAGGCAGCUUUAAAAUAAUUAAAGAUAGAAUCAUAUAGAGGUCACUUUUAGAUAAUUCUUAGAGUAGGGUUGAUAUCUGUAGAUACUAAGAGGAAUACUAAUUAGCGAAGGCACUUUUCCAAAUAAUGAUUGACGCUGAGAAACGAAGGGGAGGAUAGAAAAUAGGAUUAGAUACCCUCGUAUCCCUCUCUGUCAACGAUGAAUGGUAGUUGCUAGUAUAAAUUAUUAGUGACGAUGCUAACGCGUUAACCAUUCCGCCUUGUGAGUACGACUGCAAAGUUGAAAACAAAAAAAUUAGUCGGUUUCGGAGCAAACGAAGUGAAGCAUGUU